CACAAAUAUGAAGGCGGGCUGGAACCUCUCGGGGUUACAGCCUUGCUGAAUUAUUCACCCUUGUCUUUUGCGUACUUCUUGUUUCCUUGGUGGGUUCGCCCACCACUAGGACAAACAUAAACCUUUUGUAAUUGCAAUCAGCGUCAGUAACAAAUUAGUAAUUA
rnacentral:misc_RNA from 1 species